CCACCCUACUAAAGCCAAGGUUAGACUGGGAAGAGCAGAGUGCUGACCACCCUACUAAAGCCAAGGUUAGACUGGGGAAAACAGAGUGCCCACCACCCUACUAAAGCCAAGGUUAGACUGGGGAGAGCAGAGUGCCGACCACCCUACUAAA